UCAAAUAUCCCGGAAACAGGUGGCCUUGUCACACAAGGCUGAAAAGGGAAGCCGGUGAAAAUCCGGCGCGGUCGCGCCACUGUGAGGGGGACGCCCCUGCACAACGCCACUGUCCUGCAUCCAGGAUGGGAAGGCGCAGGAGCUAAUGAACCCGAGCCAGGAGACCUGCCUGUUUUCCGUCCAUCAC
rnacentral:ncRNA from 2 species